rnacentral:rRNA from 1 species
UACGGAGGGUGCGAGCGUUGUCCGGAAUCACUGGGCGUAAAGGGCGCGUAGGUGGCCUGUGGAAGUCUGCGGUGAAAGCCCGGCGCUCAACGCCGGGUCGGCCGUGGAUACUCUCGGGCUCGAGCUUACUAGAGGCAGAUGGAAUUCCGGGUGUAGCGGUGGAAUGCGUAGAGAUCCGGAAGAACACCGGUGGCGAAGGCGGGUCUCUGGGCAGUAACUGACGCUGAGGAGCGAAAGCGUGGGGAGCGAGCAGG